ensembl:lncRNA
ACACAUACAUGUGCUGCAGGCUUAAAGAGGACCUGCUGGAUCACUAGUUCAAAUACAAAUGUGUGUUAACAUCUCCUCCAAGCUGGACCUGUACACCUCAGUUGCUCUCACAAACAUUUAUUGCAUUAUUUAAUUUUAUUUUUUAGGUUUCUGUCACUAGUUGGACUCUGGAGUAAAUGUUAAAAACCCAAAACUCCAUAAUGAGGUGAAUUAGGAUUCACCUAAUUAUACAUAACUGUAUGCCCUAACCAUAGGGCCAGCUGUGAUUCAUUCUGAUUUGUUUUUCUGCCUAACCUGUGCUGAUCUAACCAACAAUUAUAUGAGCCUUUUACCACCUGCCGGGAGAACAGCUCUAAUUCCCUUUCCCCCCACUAAAUCUGACUUUGUCAAUCAAGAAAUAAGAGGUGCUAAAUAGGGACCUGUGGUCCCUGCUUCUCAAUGAAGCCUUCAUUCAGAGCAACGUUGGCUGUGGUAGGCUGUUCAGGUCUCUGUGACACAAUUUUGUAACCAAACCUGCUUAUUUUAGGCUGUAAUAUUGUGGGGAUCUCGCUGCAAGAGCUGCAAGUCUUCGGUAAAGUGACUGCAAGGAAGCCGAUCUAUCACUCGACUGCUUGUGGGAGUGAACUGAUGUGAAAAGAUUGCUCUGCCGCUUUGAAAGACGGUGCUAAAAGCUGGUGAAGGAGGACAGCUCCGGGUCCGAAGACCCAACGCCAGGUUUCUGGGGAACUUCACAACCGGAGGUGGAUGAACAGCAGCUCUCAGCACCACCUGGGCAGAACUGGCCUUCUCUGAGCUGCCACUUCUUGUCCGGAUGCCAGCAGGCCUUCUCCCACCUCUGCCACACCACAUCUGGCUUGGUUCGUGCUCUCCUCCAUUUUAACAACGGUGCCGGGACUCAGAAUUUCAGAAUGGGGGUAUGGGUGUCAGACUCGCUAGGUACACGGGAAAUAAAACAGUAAGCAGUGUGACUGCCAGCAUAAAGAUGUAAGACGCACAAGCUUUGAGCUUGAAAUGCCAGGAAAACUAUACUUAAUGAUUUUUCAUGAGUUUUACCCCAUUUAUUAGUUCACAGACUUGUUGGAAAUGUUUGUGAACGCUUUCUGAGCUAUAACAUAUAGUUCGUGGUAACUUUGCCAUACCCUGCCUAAAAAGACUAACUUUUAAAACGAGAUCUGCUUUCAAAUGGAGAGGCUCCUUCCAUCUGAUCAUGUCUCAGCACCAAGCACCAUUAGGUCCUGGGAGCUUUUUACUGCUCAAAGGGAAAAGAUCAUUGCCCCAUUCUGACACUGACAAAUUGAGUCCUUUUAUUUGCUAGACUUUCAAAAUAAGGCUUGCCUGCCAUUUCUAUGAAGGAAUGCACUGGCUUCAAUAUCUUCCUCUAAAAAGGAUUUGGAGGAAGCAGCAGCCCCCAGGCGCAUUCCCUGCCAUUGAUCAGCGAUGCACCUGACACCAGGGGAGGAGGCCCUGCCAGCUGCCCCUGGACAUGAGCACCAGUCUGCGCCACCUGGGCAUGUUUAAGUGCAUUCACAGAUAUGUCCCACAUUUAUUGAUAUGUCUUGGUUUGCUGUGUGAUGAGAACGAACUCGUGAAUGCUCUGAAAGUGUUUUUUCGCAGCUGUAAUUAAAUCAGUUCCACUGCACCAGCAGAUCAGAGGGAUCUCUUUCUUUCAACCUGGGGAAAUAAAACCAUCCUUGGGCUUCA